rnacentral:rRNA from 1 species
AUUGAACGCUGGCGGCAGGCCUAACACAUGCAAGUCGAACGAGUGGCGGACGGGUGAGUAAUGUCUGGGAAACUGCCAGAUGGAGGGGGAUAACUACUGGAACCGGUAGCUAAUCCCGCAUACCAUCGGAUGUGCCCAGAGGGGAUUAGCUAGUAGGUGGGGUAACGGCUCACCUAGGCGACGAUCCCUAGCGGGUCUGAGAGGAUGACCAGCCACACUGGAACUGAGACACGGUCCAGACUCCUACGGGAGGCAGCAGUGGGGAAUAUUGCACAAUGGGCGCAAGCCUGACGGAGCAAUGCCGCGUGUGUGAUGAAGGCCUUCGGGUUGUAAAGUUCUUUUAGCGAGGAGGCGUUACCCGCAGAAGAAGCACCGGCUAACUCCGUGCCAGCAGCCGCGGUAAUUC